rnacentral:tRNA from 1 species
CGGGAUAGCUCACCUGGUAAAGCAAAGGACUGAAAAUCCUCGGGUCACCAUUUCAAAAAAAAA